rnacentral:rRNA from 1 species
UAGUGGCGAACGGGUGAGUAACACGUGGGCAAUCUGCCCUUCACUCUGGGACAAGCCCUGGAAACGGGGUCUAAUACCGGAUAAUACCUGCCUGGGCAUCUGGGUGGGUUGAAAGCUCCGGCGGUGAAGGAUGAGCCCGCGGCCUAUCAGCUUGUUGGUGAGGUAGUGGCUCACCAAGGCGACGACGGGUAGCCGGCCUGAGAGGGCGACCGGCCACACUGGGACUGAGACACGGCCCAGACUCCUACGGGAGGCAGCAGUGGGGAAUAUUGCACAAUGGGCGAAAGCCUGAUGCAGCGACGCCGCGUGAGGGAUGACGGCCUUCGGGUUGUAAACCUCUUUCAGCAGGGAAGAAGCGAGAGUGACGGUACCUGCAGAAGAAGCGCCGGCUAACUACGUGCCAGCAGCCGCGGUAAUACGUAGGGCGCAAGCGUUGUCCGGAAUUAUUGGGCGUAAAGAGCUCGUAGGCGGCUUGUCACGUCGGGUGNGAAAGCCCGGGGCUUAACCCCGGUUCUGCAUUCGAUACGGGCUAGCUAGAGUGUGGUAGGGGAGAUCGGAAUUCCU